GGCCCGCGGAGCCGGCGCCAGCGGGCUGCUGAGGUGGCUGUCGCCCGCUCGGAGCUGCGGCUUCCCCGGGUCGAGCCCCCGAUGGAGGCCGUGGCCGCGGACAGCCCCCCAGGCAGGGUCGAGGGGGCGCUCAGCUGUUUCUCUUUCAACCAGGACUGCACAUCCCUCGCAAUUGGAACCAAAGCUGGUUACAAGCUGUUUUCCUUGAGUUCUGUGGAGCAGCUGGACCAAGUCCAUGGAAGCAAUGAGAUCCCGGACGUGUACAUCGUGGAGCGCCUCUUCUCCAGCAGCCUGGUGGUGGUGGUGAGUCACACAAAGCCGCGCCAGAUGAACGUCUACCAUUUCAAGAAAGGCACGGAGAUCUGUAAUUACAGCUACUCCAGCAACAUCUUGUCCAUCAGGCUGAACCGGCAGAGGCUGCUCGUUUGCCUGGAGGAGUCCAUUUACAUUCACAACAUUAAAGACAUGAAGCUGUUGAAGACCAUCCUGGAUAUCCCUGCAAACCCAACAGGUCUGUGUGCCCUCUCUAUCAACCAUUCCAAUUCUUACGUGGCCUAUCCUGGAAGCCUGACGACAGGCGAGAUCGUGCUUUACGACGGACACUCCCUGAAAACAGUCUGCACGAUUGCUGCCCAUGAGGGGACACUGGCUGCCAUCGCCUUUAACGCCUCAGGCUCCAAACUGGCGAGCGCAUCUGAGAAAGGCACUGUCAUCCGGGUGUUCUCAGUACCUGAUGGGCAAAAGCUCUAUGAGUUUCGGAGAGGAAUGAAAAGGUAUGUGACGAUCAGCUCUCUGGUCUUCAGUAUGGACUCCCAGUUCCUCUGUGCCUCAAGCAACACGGAGACUGUGCACAUCUUCAAGCUGGAGCAUCUCAACAACAGUCGACCAGAAGAGCCUUCGACCUGGAGUGGCUACGUGGGAAAGGUGUUCAUGGCUGCCUCCAACUACCUCCCCGCCCAGGUGUCCGACAUGAUGAACCAGGACAGGGCCUUUGCCACCGGGCGUCUGAGCUUCUCCGGGCAGAGGAACAUCUGCACCCUCUCCACGAUCCAGAAAUUGCCGAGGCUCUUGGUUGCAUCGUCCGACGGACACCUUUACAUCUACAACCUGGACCCUCAGGACGGAGGAGAGUGUGUCUUAAUCAAGACCCACAGCUUGCUUGGCUCAGGAACCAGCGAAGAGAACAAAGAAAAUGACCUCAGGCCUUCAUUACCUCAGUCUUACGCUGCAACCGUAGCCCGACCGAGCGCAGCUGCGGCCUCCACGGUGCCGGGUUACUCCGAGGACGGCGGGGCGCUCCGAGGAGAGGUUAUUCCUGAACACGAGUUUGCGACGGGACCAGUGUGUCUUGAUGAUGAGAAUGAGUUCCCCCCUGUGAGCAUUCGGGAUCCCUAAGAGCGGCUCAGUCUGUAUGCUUGGCCGGAAACCUUCCCCUCGGGUGCGAGGUGGCGUCACUUCCCGAUAAUCUUGUGCCGCGGAAGUCAGAAGGGCAAAACGAAGCAGUCCUGAUGGGAAGCGCACCUCAGAAAUCAGGACCUCCCCUGUCAGGGGGUUUUGGAGGAAGCAAGGAAGGUGGAAGAAAGGAGUGCGAGUGUGUGAGCAGAAUGGGGGGCAGGAACCCCAGGUGCCGCCUGCUUAAGCCACGGGACACAGUCCACGGCCCAGCCAGCUCUUCUCAGCCCUGGUUGCCCGUGGGUGCGGGAGACACGGUGCACACACGUCCUGCCACAGAAAGCACGUUACAGCCGUAGUGCCCACGCGAACUAACCAUAUUGGUCCAUAACCCGAAUUUUAUAUUUAAAAAGGGCAUCCUUUUAAAAUGUAUGCUGUGUAAACGUGUACUUACAGGAAAACCUCUUCGAAUUGUACUUCUUGUAUAUUACAUGCCUAGAGAGAGAGAGAGACUAUUUUAGCCAGGCAAAGUAUUUCUGCAGUGAUUGGAAUAAAUCAUUUAUUACCUUUGAGUCCCAUUUAGGACACUAAUAAUAAAAUCAUGGCAAUGCA